GCGCGGUUAGCUCAGGGGUAGAGCACUGCCUUCACACGGCAGGGGUCGCUGGUUCGAAACCAACACCGCGCA
rnacentral:tRNA from 1 species